AGGAGGGAGCAGCUCUUAACUUCUAUUUCUUCAGGAGCUGUGUAAAAAUAACUUUCAGACCAAGGACACAGUCCUCUACUGUUGGGGUUGGUCUGUUAUGUCUACAAGUGUUAAAUUCUGAGCUCCAUGAUCUGGUUGCCAUCCAGACAAGUGCAUCCUCUACCCAGAGGAUGAGGCUGAGCACAGCAGCCUUUGUUGCCUUGCUCACCAAUGCAAAGCUAUUGGCUAACAAAAGAUCGAGUUGUGAUUGGGCAGUAAAGAGAAAGAGGCAGGACCUGAGAAUCUAGUGAGGGGUCUCAAGAGAGACCUCGGGGAAGAAGGAAGAAGAAGACAGAGAGAAUGAGGCUUCCAGGAGGCCAGAAGGAUCAGGAGCAUGUGGCCAGAGUACACCCUGACAAGGCUGGGGGAGCUAAAGCAGCCCAGGUGAGACUCAAACAGACAGCGGAAAGCUGAGGAGGACACUGGGGGAGUGCCCUCCGGUUCUGUGGGCACGUGCCAGGAGCCACCAGGGUCUGAGGCCUUUCCAAGAGACUUCUAAGUGAGAACACAUGUUCUGAGAACCCACACAGUCACGUGGUCUCCCUGCAGGGGAAGAUGCUAAAGGCUGUGGCUCCCAAUGCGGGACUUCUCUGCUAGCUCUGUGAGAGACACGAUGAAGAGAUAGCUCUGUCUCUCUGCCCCCUCCCCAGCCCCACCUCCCACAGUUUGGGAGAGACCCCAGGCUUUGUUUUGGGCAGUAUGAUAUUUUCCUGCUUUGAGGUUCUAUUUGGCUUCUCUGAGAGCCUUUACAACCCAGUCUCUCAAGCUGUGGGUCAUCACCUCCUCACUGAACAUGGGGAGGCAAUGAAAAACUUGGCAACAAAGUGUUUGGUAAUGCAUAAGAGCCAGAAAUUAAUUUAAAAUCAAAGGUAUAAUGACCUGGAGAUCUUUCUGGCAAUGCCUGGCAGUGUUGCCUCAUCCAAAUUCACUGAAGUCUUGGUGCCAAACACACAAUGUGUGCUUUGUACAAUGAGUUGUAUCACACCCACAGUGUCAACAAGUGUCGUCUGAGACACCUCAGAUACGACACUGUGAUAUUCAUGAAGUGCCGUGUUUUUAUUGUACACAGUUUUCUGCUCUUACAGAAACAUAAUAAUUUAAUUAUAGAAAACACCCCAAUAACUUUUUAUUUCCAUUAUUGCUCAGCACAUAAUAUCAAAUUAAUGUACUUUUGAACUGUGCUGUGUUAGAAUGUUUGAUUUUCAAAACAAUAUUUGAUAUGCUCAUUUGAGUUUCAUUAAGAAAGAAUUUUCAGGUGGUUUGAUGGGACUUUUCCCGGGUGGUUUGCUGUUAGGCCUGACCAUCUGAGUUCAAGUCCCACAAGCUAUAUGGUAAAAGGGUCAAGUUGCUUCCUAUAAGUGUCCUCUGAUUUCCACGUGUGUGUUAUGGUGUUCACGCUCUCCUCAGAAUAAGUAAAUAAUGCAUGUAUGUACAUUUAAAAAUAAAGUCCAAAAUAAAUUUUGG